GAUGAAGAACGCAGCGAAAUGCGAUACGUAAUGUGAAUUGCAGAAUUCAGUGAAUCAUCGAAUCUUUGAACGCAUAUUGCGCUCUCUGGUAUUCCGGAGAGCAUGCUUGUUUGAGUAUCAGUAAACACCUCAACUCCCUUUUCUUUUUUGAAAUUGGAGCUGGACUUGAGUGAUCCCAACGCUUUCUUCCAAGAAAGUGGCGGGUUGCUUGAAAUGCAGGUGCAGCUGAACUUUUCUCUGAGCUAUAAGCAUAUCUAUUUAGUCUGCCUAAAAAACAGAUUAUUACCUUUGCUGCAGCUAACAUAAAGGAGAUUAGUUCUUGUGCUGACUGAUGCAGGAUUCACAAAGACGGCUUCGGCCGACUUUGUAAACUCGAUCUCAAAUCAAGUAAGACUACCCGCUGAACUUAAGCAUAUCAAUAAGCGGAGGA
rnacentral:misc_RNA from 1 species